rnacentral:piRNA from 1 species
GCUCUGGCCAUUCAAGAUAUCCUUAAAACUGU